CGUCGCCGCGGUAAGACAAAGGAUGCAAGCGUUAUCCGGAAUGAUUGGGCGUAAAGCGUCUGUAGGUGGCUUUUCAAGUCCACCGUCAAAUCCCAGGGCUCAACCCUGGACAGGCGGUGGAAACUACCAAGCUGGAGUAUGGUAGGGGCAGAGGGAAUUUCCGGUGGAGCGGUGAAAUGCGUUGAGAUUGGAAAGAACACCAACGGCGAAAGCGCUCUGCUGGGCUGACACUGACACUGAGAGACGAAAGCUAGGGGAGCAAAUGGGAUUAGAUACCCGGGUAGUCCCUGUCUCUUAUACC
rnacentral:rRNA from 1 species